rnacentral:rRNA from 1 species
UACGUAGGGGGCAAGCGUUGUUCGGAUUUACUGGGCGUAAAGGGCGCGUAGGCGGCACCGCAAGUCGACUGUGAAAUCUCCGGGCUUAACUCGGAAAGGUCAGCCGAUACUGCGGGGCUAGAGUGCAGAAGGGGCAACUGGAAUUCUCGGUGUAGCGGUGAAAUGCGUAGAUAUCGAGAGGAACACCUGCGGCGAAGGCGGGUUGCUGGGCUGACACUGACGCUGAGACGCGAAAGCGUGGGGAGCAAACAGG